CACCUGGCUAUUCGCGACUGCAUUCCUUUCCCGUUGUUCUUUGAGCACUGUGCAGGAAAAUAACUCGAGAAUGUUGCUUAGACAUUGCAGAACACGAACGAUUACACUGUCCAACAAAUUUCAACCUUUUUUCUCUAAUAUUCAUUGGGUUAUGGUCGUAGAGUUUGCUUCCCUGAUGAUGAAUUCGUAAAAGAAAUUGUUUUGUCACCCUUGGUUGUCGAUAAACGUAAAAAAAUAAAUCAACAGGUUAUGGACCGCGAGUGCAGGCGACAUGUUUGAGCGCGGGGAACAAGAAUCGAGAAGGAAAUUAGAAAUAUCAAUGGAUGAAAGGAUGGAGAUGGAUAUCAUGAAAAUUUCAAGUCUUCUUCAUGCUGUGGUUUCAAGAAGACGUAUUAUUAAUUGAUGUACCAACCUGCACGUCAAGUCAUGAGAUAUGAGUACAAUUAAGCAAUAUAUAUUACAAG